rnacentral:rRNA from 1 species
AUGAGCUUUGCUCUUCUGGGCGCUGGGCGCUCCCGUGGUUCGCGAGAAGGAAAAAGGACUAAUCUUUUGUUACAUCUGGCACGAGAUGAAAAAGAGAGAGCUUCGUCUAUCGAUGAACAGCAGAUUGACGGAGCUCUUGGCAUUGCUUUGUUUUUCUCUCCUUUCCUAUCAGCGAGUUCCGAUCCUUUUGUUCGAAAUUUCUUCGUUCGUACCGAACCGCUUGCAGAAUCAAAUCCAGUUCCACAAGAUCCUAUAUCAGCUAUACAUCCUCCUUGCAUUUAUGCCGGAGAUGCCGCCAGUGCUAUGGGCUUUGGGUUAUGUAGAUCAAAAAUGAUGAAUGGGAUUGUGGCACUCCACUCGCCGCCAAUGCGGAAGGAUGCCGCCGAAAAGAAUGGAACGCUGCUUCGCUCUGCUGGAUGCGUCGGAUCCCAUAUAAGAAGCUCGCUCUUUACCCGAUCAUUCAAACAUUUUGUGGGCGGCGCGCCUGCUCUAUUGUUGCGUAGCAAUAGAAGCCUGCUCAUGCUGCUUCGGCGGCGCUUUUUCGCCUUCUCUUCGCUCUGGACAGGAGCGCUAAUGGACACGGGGAGGGAGCAGGCGAAGCGUGUCGUUCGUAAUGGAAAGAAAGACACCACUACUUCGCCUCUUUGUUGGACCGCCGGCGCGAACACGGUGGUCUCUGACCAGGACCAGGAACCAAUUCGAAUUUGGAUCUUGACAUGUCGGUUGUUUUUAACCGUAGGCAUCUCGCCAGGAAGUUGGUGGGCUCAUCAUGAAUUAGGUCGGGGUGGCUGGUGGUUUCGGGAUCCCGUAGAAAAUGCGUCUUUUAUGCCUCGGGUAUUAGCCACAGCUCGUAUUCAUUCAGUAAUUCUACCCCUUCUUCAUUCUUGGACCUCGCUUCUGAAUAUUUUGACUCUUCCAUGCUGUGUCUUAGGAACCUUUUCAAUACGGUCCGGAUUGCUAGCUCCCGUUCAUAGUUCCGCUACAGACGAUACACGAGGAAGAUUUUUAUGGCGGUUCUUCCUUCUAAUUAUAGGCAUAUCUAUGACUCUUUUUUACCAGAUGAAGCAGGAGGCAUCGGUCCGUAGAACCUAUAAAAAAGAGAUGGUUGUGGCGCGAAGUACUCUUGUGCACCUACGUCACUCGGCUCGCGCGCAACCCCGCCCCGUUAUGUUAUGUUAUGGAAGAAUUUAG